CGCGACGGUUCAGCUCGCCAGCCGUUUGCGACGGUGAGUUUUCUUUUUCAAAUAUUCUGACUUCAAAAAGUUAAACCUUUCUUUUAUAGUUUCAACAUUCAAUAUUUUUUGAAAUGAAAUGCUCAACAUUCAAUCUUAGUUUCAGCAUCUUUGACUUUGAGGCUUUAGUUUUUCAGUGUAAAGCUUUAUGAGUUUCACUCCAAGCCUUCAAGAUUUAAGAGUUCAAGAAUCUUGCUAGAAGAAAACAGCUCUCUUUCUCUUUUGUGGCUGAAGAAAUUGUGUGGAACAAGGUGAAGAAUACAAGUUAACUUUGGAUUUUUUCUGAAAGUUGUAAACUUAGUUUGAGCAAACUAAGUAAAUUCUAGUUAAAAACUUAUAAAUCUCUAUAUAUACUUGUGAUGUUGGAAAUUGGUUUUGUGGUGGGUUGUGUUGGAGCAAGCGGGUGGCUUGCAUGGUGUUAUAAGGUGGUUUAAAUAUAUAUUGGGAGUGUUUUUUAUUUCUUGUAAAUGUGAAUGAGUAUUGUUGAUUAGAUGUGAUGAAUAGUAAAUACAUAUUGAGAGUGUUUUUCAUUUCUUGCAAACGUGAAUGAGUAUUGUUGAUUAAAUGUGAUGAAUAGUAUUUUAUUUGAUUUCAAUACUUGUAAGCAUUAUACUUGUGAUAUUUGUGAUUGGUUUUGUGGUGGGUUGUUGUAUUGGAGCAAGCGGGUGUCUUGCAU